rnacentral:lncRNA from 1 species
GACAGAUAUUCAAAGAUGGAAUGAAAGAGGUUUGGUGACUGGAUAUAAGCAACGAAACAGGAAGAAUUGAAUUUGGGUCUGAUAUUUCCUGGAUGCAAGAUCAGGAGGAUGUUGGCACCAUGGCUUAGUGGGGAAACUGGGGACCGAUUCUGGAGGUAUACCAGCAUGGUGAGUUUGGUUUUAGAUGGGUUGUGUUUGACAUAGGGCUAGCAAUUCUAAGUGAAGAUGUCUAAAGAAAGAUAGAAGUGACUCAGCUCUGAAGUUCUGAAAUGAUCAGCCAUCAGCGUGGCAUGAGGAAGACCUAGGAACAGACAGACUGGGGAGAAGACACAGAGCCAAGCAGGACCUGGCCUGCAGCCCAAACCCUGUGGAAUCCCUACAUUCAAGGACCAGGUUGAAGUGAAGCCAUUGACAGGAACUGAGAUGCAGUAGUGUUCUGGAAGUCAAGUGAGGAGGAGGAUUGAAGAAGAGGUUGGUCAAAAUUCUGGGGGUUGCCCAGUGGAAACACCAGACUGCAAAGCUUUGAGAAGUCUGUAUGAGAUGAACAACUGGAAAAGGUUCUUCGUGAAGAAUUUGUGUGGUGAAGAGCUGGAAUAGCGGCUUGAGGGAGAGAAGCCAGCACUAUUCACAAUAGCCAAGAUUUGGAAGUAACCCAAAUGUCCAUCAACAGACAAAUGGAUAAAGAAAAUGUGGUGCAUAUACACAAUGGAGUAGUAUUCAGCCAUAAAAAAGAAUGAGAUCUUGUCAUCUGCAACAACAUGGAUGGAACUGGAGGUCCUUAAGGUUAAGCAAAAUAAUCCAGGCACAGAAAGAAAACAUUGCAUGUUCUCAUCUAUUUGUGAGAACUAAAAAUUAAAACAAUUGAACUCAUGGAGAUAGAGAGUAGAAGGAUGGUUACCAGAGGCUGGGAAGGGUAGUGAGGGCGAGUGAGGGGGAAGUGGGGUGUUUAAUGUGUCCAAAAAAUGGUCAGAAACAAUGAAUAAAGUCUAAUAUAUGACAGCAAAAGAGUGUGACUAUAGUCAAUAAUAAUCGAAUGGUACAUUUAAAAAUAACUAAAAGUGUAUAUUUGGAUUGUUUGUAACAUAAAGGAUAAAUGCUUGAGGUGAUGGAUACCCCAUUUACCCUGAUGUGAUUGUUACACAUUGUAUGCCUGUAUCAAAGUAUCCAUAUACCCCAUGAAUAAAUGUAUAUACCUACUAUGCACCUACAAAAAUUAAAAUAAUAAAAAAAAGGAUUCCCCAUA